rnacentral:ncRNA from 1 species
AACUGCUAGGGGUGCCUAUUGGCUGAGAUGAUAUUAGUUAUCAGACCCUUAUAACCUGAUUUGGUUAAUACCAACGUAGGAAAGUGGACUAAUA